rnacentral:rRNA from 1 species
UUCGUAGGGUGCAAGCGUUAAUCGGAAUUACUGGGCGUAAAGCGUGCGCAGGCGGUGAUGUAAGACAGUUGUGAAAUCCCCGGGCUCAACCUGGGAACUGCAUCUGUGACUGCAUCGCUGGAGUGCGGCAGAGGGGGAUGGAAUUCCGCGUGUAGCAGUGAAAUGCGUAGAUAUGCGGAGGAACACCGAUGGCGAAGGCAAUCCCCUGGGCCUGCACUGACGCUCAUGCACGAAAGCGUGGGGAGCAAACAGG